rnacentral:rRNA from 1 species
GACGAACGCUGGCGGCGUGCCUAAUACAUGCAAGUCGAACGCAGGGGGGACGAGUGAGUAACACGUGGGUAACCACCCAUCAGAGGGGAUAACACUUGGAAACAGGUGCUAAACCGAUACUGAUGGAUGGACCCGCGGUGCAUUAGCCAGUUGGUGGGGUAACGGCUCACCAAGGCCACGAUGCAUAGCCGACUGGGAGGGGUGAUGGCCCACACGGGGACUGAGCAACGGCCAAUACUCCUACGGGAGGCGGAAGUAGGGAAUCUUCGGCAAUGGACGAAAGGCUGACCGAGAAAGCCCGCGGAAGGAAAGAAGGUUUUCGGAUCGUAAAACUCUGUUGUUAGGGAGGCGGUAUCGAACCAGAAAGCCACGGCUAACUACGUGCCAGCAGCCGCGGUAAUAC